rnacentral:rRNA from 1 species
AGUGAACGCUGGCGGUAGGCCUAACACAUGCAAGUCGAACGGCAGCACAAUAAGAGCUUGCUCUUACGGGUGGCGAGUGGCGGACGGGUGAGGAAUACAUCGGAAUCUACUUUUUCGUGGGGGGUAACGUAGGGAAACUUACGCUAAUACCGCGUACGACCUACGGGUGAAAGCAGGGGAUCUUCGGACCUUGCGCGAUUGAAUGAGCCGAUGUCGGAUUAGCUAGUUGGCGGGGUAAAGGCCCACCAAGGCGACGAUCCGUAGCUGGUCUGAGAGGAUGAUCAGCCACACUGGAACUGAGACACGGUCCAGACUCCUACGGGAGGCAGCAGUGGGGAAUAUUGGACAAUGGGCGCAAGCCUGAUCCAGCCAUACCGCGUGGGUGAAGAAGGCCUUCGGGUUGUAAAGCCCUUUUGUUGGGAAAGAAAAGCAGCAGGUUAAUACCCCGCUGUUCUGACGGUACCCAAAGAAUAAGCACCGGCUAACUUCGUG